UUCGCAAUGCCCGAAAGGGUGACGAAGCGACGCCGCGUGGGUGAAGAAGGCCUUCGGGUUGUAAAACCCUGUCAGGAGUUAUGAAAUGUAAGUGCGCUAAUAUCGUGCUUAUUUGACAAAGGCUCCAAAGGAAGCCACGGCUAACUCUGUGCCAGCAGCCGCGGUAAUACAGAGGUGGCGAGCGUUGUUCGGAAUUAUUGGGCGUAAAGAGCACGUAGGUGGGUUUGCAAGUCAGAUGUGAAAGCCUUCUGUUCAACGGGAGAAUUGCAUCUGAAACUGCUAAUCUUGAGUAUAGGAGGGGAGAAUGGAACUUCUGGUGGAGCGGUGAAAUGCGUAGAUAUCAGAAGGAACGCCGGCGGCGAAAGCGAUUCUCUGGCCUAUUACUGACACUCAGUGUGCGAAAGCUAGGGGAGCAAACGGGAUUAG
rnacentral:rRNA from 1 species